AUCCAGCUGACGAGUCUCAAAGAGGACGAAACGCGCGUCAAACUGGAU
rfam:Schistosoma rodhaini strain Burundi genome assembly, scaffold: SROB_contig0000043